ensembl:lncRNA
GUUGUCUGUCCAUCCAGCGCUGUUCAGCUGAAGCCUCGCAUCAUUUUCUUCUGCCCUCCAUCCUCACAGAGACUGUCAAUCUGGUCGUCUCACUGGCCGGCGACACGGCAGUCAAAGUGUUUGAAAGAACCAGGUGUUUCCCAGUAUCUUCUGAGCGCUCCAGACUUGUCUGUCACUGCUUAAACCCAUGAGCUGUUUCCUGUGUGUGUCUCCAGCUGUCCUCAGGGAGACAUCUAUGUCCCCCUGUCAGUCAUCCAGCACAUCAGCCAAACCACCUGGCAUCACCAGGAGCUUCAUUCUUAUUGGUCGCAACUUCAGCCAAUGGCACGGCACUACAGAACAAGCUCAUAAGGGCCUGCAACGGUCCAAGGCUUUGGAGCACAGUGAUUGGCUGAGCCUGCGGCAGGCCGUGAGGGGCGUGGCUUCACGUCAGCACUUCCUGUACAUACAGAUUGUCAAUAAGAAGGUGACUCUGUACACGUAUAACUGGUCAGUGGAUCUGGGCGUCUCUGAAUCAGGGUCUGGUCAGACUGGUGCAGUGGCAGAACACCUGCACUCAUGUGGUCAACUGCCUCCUCAGACAGAAAAUGGUCCUUUUUCCAUCCUUACUGCUUCUCUGUUACACCUACACAUGAGGACCUGAAACAGGUCAGUACACAAACACACUGCUGUGUUCUCAAUGCAACACCUGCAUACUGCAUACUGCAGUGAUUCAUUAGAAAC